rnacentral:rRNA from 1 species
GCAGUCGACGAUGAAGCCCUUCGGGGUGGAUUAGUGGCGAACGGGUGAGUAACACGUGGGCAAUCUGCCCUGCACUCUGGGACAAGCCCUGGAAACGGGGUCUAAUACCGGAUACUGAUCGCCUUGGGCAUCCUUGGUGAUCGAAAGCUCCGGCGGUGCAGGAUGAGCCCGCGGCCUAUCAGCUUGUUGGUGAGGUAAUGGCUCACCAAGGCGACGACGGGUAGCCGGCCUGAGAGGGCGACCGGCCACACUGGGACUGAGACACGGCCCAGACUCCUACGGGAGGCAGCAGUGGGGAAUAUUGCACAAUGGGCGAAAGCCUGAUGCAGCGACGCCGCGUGAGGGAUGACGGCCUUCGGGUUGUAAACCUCUUUCAGCAGGGAAGAAGCGAAAGUGACGGUACCUGCAGAAGAAGCGCCGGCUAACUACGUGCCAGCAGCCGCGGUAAUACGUAGGGCGCGAGCGUUGUCCGGAAUUAUUGGGCGUAAAGAGCUCGUAGGCGGCUUGUCGCGUCGGUUGUGAAAGCCCGGGGCUUAACCCCGGGUCUGCAGUCGAUACGGGCAGGCUAGAGUUCGGUAGGGGAGAUCGGAAUUCCUGGUGUAGCGGUGAAAUGCGCAGAUAUCAGGAGGAACACCGGUGGCGAAGGCGGAUCUCUGGGCCGAUACUGACGCUGAGGAGCGAAAGCGUGGGGAGCGAACAGGAUUAGAUACCCUGGUAGUCCACGCCGUAAACGGUGGGCACUAGGUGUGGGCGACAUUCCACGUCGUCCGUGCCGCAGCUAA